AUUCGCCCUUAGAGUUUGAUCCUGGCUCAGGAUGAACGCUGGCGGUAUGCUUUACACAUGCAAGUCGUACGAGAGUUUUUAACUCAAGUGGCGGACGGGUGAGUAACACGUAAGAAUUUGCCUUUAGGAGGGGGAUAACAACUGGAAACGGUUGCUAAUACCCCAUAUGCUUUCGAGUAAAAUGGAUUUUCCGCCUAAAGAGAAGCUUGCGGCUGAUUAGCUUGUUGGUGAGGUAAUGGCUCACCAAGGCGACGAUCAGUAUCUGGUUUGAGAGGACGAUCAGACACACUGGAACUGAGACACGGUCCAGACUCCUACGGGAGGCAGCAGUGGGGAAUUUUCCGCAAUGGGCGAAAGCCUGACGGAGCAAUACCGCGUGAGGGAUGACGGCCUAUGGGUUGUAAACCUCUUUUUUCAGGGAGGAAUCAAUGACGUGUACCUGAAGAAUAAGCAUCGGCUAACUCCGUGCCAGCAGCCGCGGUAAGACGGAGGAUGCAAGUGUUAUCCGGAAUCACUGGGCGUAAAGCGUCUGUAGGUGGUCAAAUAAGUCAACUGUUAAAUCUUGAGGCUCAACCUCAAAAUCGCAGUCGAAACUAUUCGACUAGAGUAUAGUAGGGGUAAAGGGGAAUUUUCCAGUGGAGCGGUGAAAUGCGUAGAGAUUGGAAAGAACACCGAUGGCGAAGGCACUUUACUGGGCUAUUACUAACACUGAGAGACGAAAGCUAGGGUAGCAAAUGGGAUUAGAUACCCCAGUAGUCCUAGCCGUAAACAAUGGAUACUAGAUGUUGAACAGAUCGACCUGUGCAGUAUCAAAGCUAACGCGUUAAGUAUCCCGCCUGGGAAGUAUGCUCGCAAGAGUGAAACUCAAAUGAAUUGACGGGGAAGGGC
rnacentral:rRNA from 1 species